GACGAACGCUGGCGGCGUGCUUAACACAUGCAAGUCGAACGGAAAGGCCCUGCUUUUGUGGGGUGCUCGAGUGGCGAACGGGUGAGUAACACGUGAGUAACCUGCCCUUGACUUUGGGAUAACUUCAGGAAACUGGGGCUAAUACCGGAUAGGAGCUCCUGCUGCAUGGUGGUGGUUGCAAAGUUUCGGCGGUUGGGGAUGGACUCGCGGCUUAUCAGCUUGUUGGGGGGGUAGUGGCUUACCAAGGGUUUGACGGGUAGCCGGCCUGAGAGGGUGACCGGCGACAUUGGUACUGAGGUACGGCCCAGACUCCUACGGGAGGCAGCGGUGGGGAAUAUUGCACAAUGGGCGGAAGCCUGAUGCAGCAACGCCGCGUGCGGGAUGACGGCCUUCGGGUUGUAAACCGCUUUCGCCUGUGACGAAGCGUGAGUGACGGUAAUGGGUAAAGAAGCACCGGCUAACUACGUG
rnacentral:rRNA from 1 species